AAGUGAAUCUUUCAAAAAGGAAACUGAAUAUUUAUUAAAUAUUACGUUUUUAUUGUUUAGAUUACGAUCUGAGGAUGGUUAGAAUACGUAUUCUAAUAUUCUCAGAUGAAAAAAAAAAUUGAAAACGAAAAUCUAGAGGGUGAAAUCGUUUUUUAGCCCUAAUCGUCAAAGUCUUCUUCUUUCACCUCUUCCUUUUAAGUCCACGUUGAAAGGUUAGACUAAUUUGGUAGAUUUGUCGUUGUUUUUCCCCGUUCUGUGCCACGUUUUGUCAUUUGGUAUAUACUCAUAUGCUGAUGAUGUGUAUACAACUGCCACUUGGAGAUCAUUAUAUGAGGAAACUAUUAAUCCAAUAGGUGUUCCUGAAGAUGAAUGGCGCGUCCCAGAGGUUGUUGAAUCUGCAAAAGUUUUACCACCUGAAACAAGAAGACAACCUGGUAGACGAAGAAAACGAAGAUAUAAAUCAGCUGAAGACAAGAUAAAAGCAUCACAAGAGUCACAAUUAUCAAAAAAGCAUAAGUGCGGUCGUUGUGGUAAAGAAGGCCAUAAUCGAGUAACAUGUGAUGUAGCAAUAUAAGGAUUAUGUUGCAACUGCUCUCAUUGAACGUUUCUAGUUACCACUAUAUGGAUUUUGAACUUCUUUCUCAUUUCAUGAUUAUUUUCGCAUUUUUUA